CGGCGUGCUUAACACAUGCAAGUCGAACGGAAAGGCCCUGCUUUUGUGGGGUGCUCGAGUGGCGAACGGGUGAGUAACACGUGAGUAACCUGCCCUUGACUUUGGGAUAACUUCAGGAAACUGGGGCUAAUACCGGAUAGGAGCUCCUGCUGCAUGGUGGGGGUUGGAAAGUUUCGGCGGUUGGGGAUGGACUCGCGGCUUAUCAGCUUGUUGGUGGGGUAGUGGCUUACCAAGGCUUUGACGGGUAGCCGGCCUGAGAGGGUGACCGGCCACAUUGGGACUGAGAUACGGCCCAGACUCCUACGGGAGGCAGCAGUGGGGAAUAUUGCACAAUGGGCGGAAGCCUGAUGCAGCAACGCCGCGUGCGGGAUGACGGCCUUCGGGUUGUAAACCGCUUUCGCCUGUGACGAAGCGUGAGUGACGGUAAUGGGUAAAGAAGCACCGGCUAACUACGUGCCAGCAGCCGCGGCGGUACGUAGGGUGCGAGCGUUGUCCGGAUUUAUUGGGCGUAAAGGGCUCGUAGGUGGUUGAUCGCGUCGGAAGUGUAAUCUUGGGGCUUAACCCUGAGCGUGCUUUCGAUACGGGUUGACUUGAGGAAGGUAGGGGAGAAUGGAAUUCCUGGUGGAGCGGUGGAAUGCGCAGAUAUCAGGAGGAACACCAGUGGCGAAGGCGGUUCUCUGGGCCUUUCCUGACGCUGAGGAGCGAAAGCGUGGGGAGCGAACAGGCUUAGAUACCCUGGUAGUCCACGCUGUAAACGGUGGGUACUAGGUGUGGGGUCCAUUCCACGGGUUCCGUGCCGUAGCUAACGCUUUAAGUACCCCGCCUGGGGAGUACGGCCGCAAGGCUAAAACUCAAAGGAAUUGACGGGGCCCCGCACAAGCGGCGGAGCAUGCGGAUUAAUUCGAUGCAACGCGUAGAACCUUACCUGGGUUUGACAUGGAUCGGGAGUGCUCAGAGAUGGGUGUGCCUCUUUUGGGGUCGGUUCACAGGUGGUGCAUGGCUGUCGUCAGCUCGUGUCGUGAGAUGUUGGGUUAAGUCCCGCAACGAGCGCAACCCUUGUUCACUGUUGCCAGCACGUUAUGGUGGGGACUCAGUGGAGACCGCCGGGGUCAACUCGGAGGAAGGUGGGGAUGACGUCAAGUCAUCAUGCCCCUUAUGUCCAGGGCUUCACGCAUGCUACAAUGGCUGGUACAGAGAGUGGCGAGCCUGUGAGGGUGAGCGAAUCUCGGAAAGCCGGUCUCAGUUCGGAUUGGGGUCUGCAACUCGACCUCAUGAAGUCGGAGUCGCUAGUAAUCGCAGAUCAGCAACGCUGCGGUGAAUACGUUCCCGGGGCUUGUACACACCGCCCGUCAAGUCAUGAAAGUUGGUAACACCCGAAGCCGGUGGCCUAACCGUUGUGGGGGAGCCGUCGAAGGUGGGACUGGUGAUUAGG
rnacentral:rRNA from 1 species